UAGUGGCGAAAGGGUUAGUAAUGGAUAGGUAACGUGCCCUAUGCUUCGGGAUAGCGUCAGUUGCUUCGGCAACUUUCCGAAAGGGGCGGUAAUACCGAAUAACAUCAUUUGUUGACGGACAAAUGCUCAAAGAUUUAUCGGCAAAGGAGCGGCCUAUCUCCUAUCAGCUUGUUGGUGAGGUAACGGCUCACCAAGGCUAUGACGGGUAGCGGGGCUGAGAGGUUGACCCGCAACAUCGGGACUGAGACACUGCCCGGACCUCCACGGAGGGCUGCAGUAACGAAUAUUGCGCAAUGGGCGAAAGCCUGACGCAGCGACGCCGCGUGCGGGAGGAAGUCCCUUGGGAUGUAAACCGCUGUCAGGGCUAAGAAAGUUCACUUCGGUGGAUUGAUAUAACCCAGAGGAAGUCACGGCUAACUUCGUGCCAGCAGCCGCGGUAAGACGAAGGUGGCUAGCGUUGUUCGGUGUCACUGGGCUUAAAGAGUGUGUAGGCGGAAAAGUAAGCGUUUUGUGAAAGCCCCCGGCUUAACCGGGGAACUGCUUGACGAACUGCUUUUCUUGAGGCAAGUAGGGGUGCACGGAACUCUUGGUGGAGCGGUGGAAUGCGUAGAUAUCAAGAGGAACGCCGAUGGAGAAAUCAGUGCACUGGGCUUGUCCUGACGCUGAGACACGAAAGCGUGGGGAGCGAACGGGAUUAGAUACCCCGGUAGUCCACGCCGU
rnacentral:rRNA from 1 species